rnacentral:snoRNA from 1 species
GAUGCAGAUUGUUAGAGCUUGGAGCUGAGGCCGCCGGCCAAUGAACUUACAAGUGUAGGUGGUGUGCUGAUGAGGGGCAAGUUUUUCUCUAACCCCACAAGGGUUGCUGGCCCAAUGAGUGGAGUUUGAUAAUAAUACUUGCUACAAAA